rnacentral:tmRNA from 1 species
GGGGGCGUACUGGUUUCGACCUGGAAGGUGCGCCAGAGGCGGCAUGCCGAGGACGAUGCGUUGGCCUCGUUAAUCAUCGCAUCAAAACAAAACAGCUAACGAAGAGUUGGCCCUCGCGGCCUAAUAAUCCGCGACGUUCACUGGUGGACACCUGCUACGCCGGAUGAACGCUACAGCAGGCAUGGUUGUCGGCGGAGACCGCGCGCUGGCAGCCGAGAAAAUCCCAUGCGGACUAGGCUGCUGGAUUCGUGUCGGAAGGUUAUCCAGGGGCUGAAACUCGCUUCCGGCUAAGCAUGUAGUCGCGGCUGGUGAAUCGGCCAUGGGACAGGGGUUCAACUCCCCUCGCCUCCACCA